CAUCUGGUUCAUCCUGCUUGGACCAUCAACCACGACACGCUGCCCGUCUCGGCGCUGGUCACAACUCCCUGCUGCAUUCAGAGCCUUCGUUAGGUUUCGUCGAAACCCGACAUUGGCAAAGGUUUUACAGCAGUGACCUCCUACACAUCACAAACCACAAGUAUCACCCCAGCUCUCCAAAAAGAACCUGAAGGGGUGGAAGAGAAGCUUUCUGUUGUCUUUCAGUGUUUAUUUGGUUUUAACAUCCGCAUUAAUGUGAUCCCCUCCUGACAAGAGGGGUGGCGAAUCACGUGCACAUGUAGAUGCCGUGUGUGUCAGGCCAGGAAUUACAGCAGAGGAGGCGGCGGGAGCAGCACUCCAACUCACUGCGUAAAGCACGGGUUGCUGCCUGCCUGUUCUGAAGCAGUGUGCAGAGACUCACCUUUUCAGCCAAGGAAGGAACGGAUGUCUCCACCUGAAAAUCUGCAACAUCUCUGGGAGGAUCCGGGAGCCUGUGGCCACAGUAGGGCACGACUGCAGCAGCCAGAGGCUUGCCAAUAAAAAUAGAGCUUGACCUGGUUUUGGAGUGGGUGCAACCUGGAUUUACUUCCCACAAGACUGCACAGGUGUCUGCCGUGACCCACAAAAUGUGUUCUCCCGACUUGAUCCAUCCUAUUACAUGACUGACUGUGCUCAGACGGGGUGGAGAUUGAUAG